rnacentral:rRNA from 1 species
CCCUUAGAUGUCCUGGGCCGCACGCGCGUUACACUGAUGCAUUCAACGAGCUUAUAACCUUGGCCGAGAGGCCUGGGCAAUCUUGUUAACGUGCAUCGUGAUAGGGAUAGAUUAUUGAAAUUAUUAAUCUUGAACGAGGAAUUCCUAGUAAACGCAGAUCAUCAAUCUGCAUUGAUUACGUCCCUGCCCUUUGUACACACCGCCCGUCGCACCUACCGAUUGGAUGGUCCGGUGAAGCCUCGGGAUAGUGGUUCUUGCCGCUUUAUUGUGGCGUGACCGCGAGAACUUGUCUAAACCUUAUCAUCUAGAGGAAGGUGAAGUCGUAACA